rnacentral:miRNA from 1 species
UCUCUGUGUUGAAUUUGA